rnacentral:rRNA from 1 species
UACGUAGGGGGCAAGCGUUGUCCGGAAUCAUUGGGCGUAAAGGGCGCGUAGGCGGCGCGGGCAGUCAACGGUGAAAGCCUGGGGCUCAACCCCGAGUCGGCCGUCGAUACUCCCGCGCUCGAGCACUGUAGAGGCAGGUGGAAUUCCGGGUGUAGCGGUGGAAUGCGUAGAGAUCCGGAAGAACACCGGUGGCGAAGGCGGCCUGCUGGGCAGUAGCUGACGCUGAGGCGCGACAGCGUGGGGAGCAAACAGG